AGUUCUUUAUUAGGAAAAUAUAUAUCCCCUACUAAAUCCUCCUAAUUAUUCUCAUAUCCACAAUAAAGUAAUAUAUGUCAUAAGUUAUUAUAUAAGAAAAGAAGGUUCAUCCACCAUUUGCCGUCACAAGCUCGAUAAUUUUUUGUGCGCUUAAAACGCUUCCUUUUUUUAAGUCACCAUAAUAAUCCGGCUUCAACAUCGUGAUUCCACCGAACCACCACUCCAUGUCAUCUCCAUUCUCCCUUAAUUCACCUAUUCAAUAAAUCCAAACAGCAACCAAAAAUCAAUCAAAUAUGAACAUAAAUUGUAGAAGGAUAUGAGUCUAUCCUCAUCGAACCAAAAGGAAACAGAAAAGGGGAUUUAGAGAAUCCCCACUCCCUUCACUGUUAGAGACACCGAGAGGAGGAAGAAAGGAGGAGACAACCCCAAUGAGAACCACCAUAAUCCACCGCAACUCGCCACAAACCGUCACCAUUGCCGUCGAAGGAGCGAAGAAGAAGGGAGGCUAGGGAUUGAAAUUCCCUUUUCUAAUUUGGGGUCAAAGAACCCGUAUGGGGUUACCCCUCUCCUACUUCUUUAUUUCACUUACCAUUUAUUCAUUUUCUUUCACUUUUUUUUUACUUAAUUUAUAUAUGUAGUUGUUGUUAAUGUAUU
rnacentral:lncRNA from 1 species